GACGAACGCUGGCGGCGUGCCUAAUACAUGCAAGUCGAACGCUGAAGGAGGAGCUUGCUCUUCUGGAUGAGUUGCGAACGGGUGAGUAACGCGUAGGUAACCUGCCUGGUAGCGGGGGAUAACUAUUGGAAACGAUAGCUAAUACCGCAUAACAGUAGAUGUUGCAUGACAUUUGCUUAAAAGGUGCAAUUGCACCACUACCAGAUGGACCUGCGGUGUAUUAGCUAGUUGGUGGGGUAACGGCUCACCAAGGCGACGAUUCAUAGCCGACCCGAGAAGGGGAACGGCCACACUGGGACUGAGACAAGGCCCAGACUCCUAAGGGAGGCAGCAGGAGGGAAACUUCGGCAAUGGACGGAAGGCUGAACGAGGAACGCCGCGGGAGGGAAGAAGGGUGUCGGAUCGUAAAGAUCUGUUGUAAGAGAAGAACGAGUGUGAGAGUGGAAAGUGCACACUGUGACGGUAGCUUAUCAGAAAGGGACGGCUAACUACGUG
rnacentral:rRNA from 1 species